AGUGAACGCUGGCGGUAGGCCUAACACAUGCAAGUCGAACGGCAGCACAUUAAGAGCUUGCUCUUACGGGUGGCGAGUGGCGGACGGGUGAGGAAUACAUCGGAAUCUACUUUUUCGUGGGGGAUAACGUAGGGAAACUUACGCUAAUACCGCAUACGACCUACGGGUGAAAGCAGGGGAUCUUCGGACCUUGCGCGAUUGUAUGAGCCGAUGUCGGAUUAGCUAGUUGGCGGGGUAAAGGCCCACCAAGGCGACGAUCCGUAGCUGGUCUGAGAGGAUGGUCAGCCACACUGGAACUGAGACACGGUCCAGACUCCUACGGGAGGCAGCAGUGGGGAAUAUUGGACAAUGGGCGCAAGCCUGAUCCAGCCAUACCGCGUGGGUGAAGAAGGCCUUCGGGUUGUAAAGCCCUUUUGUUGGGAAAGAAAAGCAGCAGGUUAAUACCCCGCUGUUCUGACGGUACCCAAAGAAUAAGCACCGGCUAACUUCGUG
rnacentral:rRNA from 1 species